GCAGGAGAAUUAGAGGCAGAGAGGGAAAUCUGAUUGCAGACAUCGGUGUCAGAGCGGUGUGAUUGCUGGCUGGAAGGAAUCCACGAGCCAAGGAAGCUGGAAAAGGCAAGGAAACAGAUUCUCACUGAGAGAUUCCACAGAAAACACACCCUGUUGACACCUUGACAUGAGCGCGUUGUGGCCACUUUUGAACUUCUCGCUUCCAGAACUUGAAGGUGAACAUUUUCAUACUGUUUCAAAAAGACGAGCUUGAAAUGAAGACGUGUGUUUAAGAGAAAGCAAGUGAUCUCCGUAGCAGCUGAGGUGCUGAAGUAUUUCUGCAAUCCUAUGAGUAGACCUCAUGACAUGGCAUCACAUCUGGAGUCCCAGGAAGUAGAGUCUUCUGAAAAAGUCACAGCUGGUUGUCAUCAUAGAGACACAGAUGAAGAGAUAUUCCAGAGCCAAGUUCAUCUCUGCAAUACAUUGGAGAGACACAAAAAGCCUGGAAAGACAUUGUGUUCUUGGUGCCCAGAAGUCUAGCAGACACAGGCUUUGUCAAAAUGGCGGAGGAAAUAAAUUCCAAACACAUGGCGCUUUCUAGGAAAAUGCCUUCUAAUUUUUGGAAAAUUCAGCUGGAAACUUCCUUUAAGAGAAUUCAUGCUGGGUAUGCACACUUAAGCCAGUUAACCUGCAGAACUGAAUCUACCAGUCAAUUGAUAAUUAUUAUUAAAUAGUUGUUUGAACUGACAGAAUUUCUGGCCAGUAAGUCUUUGAGCCCAGACAAGCAGUAUAGGUAAUGAGGAAGGGUUAAUUGCUAUAUAGUCUUGUUUCUUAGAGAGUCUCCCAAAGUAUAUAGAGUAACUUUGUUUAUAGGUUGCUCAACUGGUGUGGGUCCAUCAGGAAGGAGACCUCAGAGUGCACAGUUCUUGAUUUGCAUAUUGACCUGCACUGUGAUUAUUAUGCCUCUGCAUGGGUAGCACAUACAUCAACUGCAGGAAUAUAAAAAUGUGAAUUGUAUGAAAAUCAUAUACUAUCUACUGAUUUUUUGUAGUUACUACAAUUUAUCACAGAAAAGAGUCUACAAACCUAAAUGGAAAGGAUUAUUAAAAUAUGCAAAUUUACUAAUCUAUCACUUAAUUUAGUCCUAGUCAGGGGAGAAAAUAUGCCACUUCAAACAAUUUACACUCUUUGCUAUGUGGAUGUACAUUUUUUAUGAAUUUCUGUGUGGACUCAUAAAUGUGUAUUUUAAGUUCUCUCAGAAGUUUUUGUGUAAAGCCAGGUUAAAUAAAGGAAGAUUCUGUUUCUACUACUUACAACACUUCUGACACCAAAUGUGUGGGUUUUCCACAUCAAGAAAUUCUCCAGUUUUCUGUGGACACCACGUGGAUGUCCUGUCAUCUACAAUUUAAUUUAUCCAGACACAAACUACCCGGAGUUGGCACAGACCAGCUAUGUUUAGGGAUCUGGCUCACCUGGUUGUGCCCACUUCAGACCCUAGGUAUAGGUCCCACCUGUACUUGUGGGACUUUUCACCUGUAUUUCUGACCAACUUACUGUACUUCAGGGUUC